CAAGUAUCGUUCAACCCUGAGUGUUGGUGAUUGUUUCAGACUGGGCCAGACUGGUCACAGCAUCAGCGACUUCCACCACUGAAUGCUUUGGAUGCAAAGGCGCUGAAGCAACUGAAUGCAGGGAUGUAUGGCACUAUCUCUAAGGUCCAGGUCCUAGGUGAUCUCGUAAUGUUAGCUUCCAGCUUGGGGACCUGCACAGGACUGUGGACUUCACCCAUCAACUGCUUUCUCUUGGAUGACUGCUGUUUUGGAGUCCUUUCAUCCUGGCCUCGUGGGGGAUUUCAUGAUACAUGUUAGAGUCCAAGCCUGGAUUUGACAGCGAGCCUUUGGAGCCUGACGAGACAGGGAAUCGUGUGGCCACAUUCAUGACUUAUGUAAGUAUGGUCAGUACUGGAUUGCCCUGUAGGCACACCAAGCCUAGGCUAGAAGGGUCCCCACUGAAUCCAAGUAUUGAGGGUUUGGAUCCACAAGUUUAUAUUUUUAGAAACACGCCAGAAGAUACUAAUGAUCAACCUGGUAUAGGAGCUGCUAUCACUUAGUGAUUAGAAGUAGAGGGAGAAAGAGGGAAAGGGAG